rnacentral:misc_RNA from 1 species
UAAUCCAUGAGCAUGGGAGAUCUUUCCGU